GACGAACGCUGGCGGCGUGCUUAACACAUGCAAGUCGAGCGGUAAGGCCCUUUUGGGGGUACACGAGCGGCGAACGGGUGAGUAACACGUGGGUGACCUGCCCUCAGCUCUGGGAUAAGCCUGGGAAACUGGGUCUAAUACUGGAUAUGACCUUUCCUCGCAUGGGGGUUGGGUGGAAAGUUUUUCGGCUGGGGAUGGGCCCGCGGCCUAUCAGCUUGUUGGUGGGGUGAUGGCCUACCAAGGCGACGACGGGUAGCCGGCCUGAGAGGGCGACCGGCCACACUGGGACUGAGACACGGCCCAGACUCCUACGGGAGGCAGCAGUGGGGGAAUAUUGCGCAAUGGGCGGAAGCCUGACGCAGCGACGCCGCGUGGGGGAUGACGGCCU
rnacentral:rRNA from 1 species